rnacentral:rRNA from 1 species
CGUGUAGGCGGUUGGUCAAGUCUGGUGUGAAAGCCCGGGGCUUAACCCCGGAAGUGCAUUGGAAGCUAGCCAGCUAGAGCGCGAGAGAGGAGGGUGGAAUUCCUGGUGUAGCGGUGAAAUGCGUAGAUAUCAGGAGGAACACCGGCGGCGAAGGCGGCCCUCUGGCUCGUUGCUGACGCUGAAACGCGAAAGCGUGGGGAGCAAACA